rnacentral:rRNA from 1 species
CAGCCGCCACGGGAAUACGGAAGGUCCGGGCGUUAUCCGGAUUUAUUGGGUUUAAAGGGAGCGUAGGCCGCCCCUUAAGCGUGUUGUGAAAUGCGGGUGCUCAACAUCCGACUUGCAGCGCGAACUGGGGGGCUUGAGUGCGCCGAAAGUAGGCGGAAUUCGUGGUGUAGCGGUGAAAUGCUUAGAUAUCACGAAGAACUCCGAUUGCGAAGGCAGCUUACUGUAGCGCAACUGACGCUGAUGCUCGAAAGCGUGGGUAUCGAACAGGAUUAGAUACCCGUGUAGUCCCUGUCUCUUAUAC